CGUGGCGGUGGCGGUGCGGGCCUCGCAGGGCGCCUUCCACGCGCCCGAGGCGGCAACGACCCCGCUGAUCCUGGCCUGCGCCGGCACGG
rnacentral:tRNA from 1 species